rnacentral:lncRNA from 1 species
UAUUUUCUAUUUACUACAGUUUCUUAGUUAUAUAUAUAUAUAUAUAUAUAUAUAUAUAUAUAUAUAUAUAUAUAUAUAUAUAUAUAUAACUAGAUAUUUUUGUUUGACCUGAAACAGAUGGCAUAUUCACUGUCUUCUUAAUUUAUCCUUGAUGAGAGCUUCACUUUAAUUAUUUGAUAGGGGAUGGAUGCUUUGAAUUGCUAUAUAUAUAUAUAACCAUUAAUUGAUUCUUAAAGCAUUUCCGAUUGAAGUUUUUCAAGAAUCUCUCCUUAACAAAAUCUAAAUCAUGUCAAAUUAUUGUCAUCUCAACCCCAAUAUAGGAUUCGAAAAACAUGCCAAAUCAUGCCCAACCAUUCUAAAAUUAAACAUGACUGUAACAAUAACAACCAAUGAAUUGUAGUCAUUAUGAUAUUCUCCAUAUAAUAGAUAGGUGCAUUCAAUAAUGACCUCCCUUGUUAAAUAAUGUUUUAUAGAUUAUAGGAUUAAUUAUAUACAAAGACAAAUUGGGUUGUCAAUAAGUUUAUAGAUAACCUAAUAGAAAUAGUUAUAUCAUGCCCAAAAGAUGGGAUCUUUCUAUGUUUCUUCAUUCUUGUGUUUGGUUUACAUGUUUAAUAUUGCUCAUUAAAAAGUAAUAAAGAAUUCAUUAUUGGAAUAUUUGGAUUAUUCCAUUCCAAGUCUUUGAUUGUUGGGGUGCAUGCCAAACUAUCUUAGGGAUCUCAAAAAAAUGUACUUGUGAUCUAGAUGUUCCUAGAUCAAUUCUAAUUGACGAGCUCGGAAAAUGGUGUGGAUCUCAAAUACCUCACAAUAUUUUGUGUGAUGGCUUUUUCCUAAACCUUAUCACAUGAGGAUGGUGGAAUCCUCUCUGUAAGGAUGGUGGAAUCCUCUCAAAAAGGAUGGAGGCUAGGGUUCCUCUCUCUAGAAGAUUGACUGGAAAAAACCUAAGUCCUAAACCCUUAAAGAGGUUUUUAUAGGCUUAUGUAUGGGCUUGAGUGACUUGAGCCCACCUUGGGCUUGGGUCACUUAAUCUAACCUACUAGGUCUUAAUUAGUUAAUUAGUUAUUAGUUAAUUGGUUUUAUUAGACUCUAAUGGAUUACUUGGCCAAUCCAUAAAGACCAUUCAUAAGCUCUUGUGUAUCCUUGUGUAUUUACCCAAAUACCCUUACGCCCACAUAUGAAUAAAAAACCCAAAUAUCCCUCAAAUAAUGUUCCACCAACGAAUAUGAGCCCAAGCGAGGACUAUUGAAACCUAUAGGAAGGUAUUGACUCCCUCACAAUCCAAUUCUGAAGAUGACUCAAUAUCUUACUAUAGAGAGUUAAUUGCACUCCAAUUCCUAUGAUAUUAGAUCAAGGUAGAAAACUCAGGUUUGUGACCUUCUAAUAACUCCAUGUAAGCUCCUUAUAAAUUGGUAUUUGUAAUCUAACCAUUUGAACACUAUUAACAUGUUAAGAUUAUCUCUACAAUCCAUGAGUCUUAAAUCCUCCUAUUAUGUAAUCAACUAACAUACUUUAACUUUAUAAGAACAUAUGUCAAAUUCUGUUAAAGGAAUUAUUAUGACCAUAAAUUUCAUGAUCACAUAUCCUUAGGAUCACUUAAAGGUACACACCAUCUCAAACCUAUGAGAUAUCAUGGUGCUUAUUUUAAGAAUACUUAUUGCCAUUUGACUUGAUCAAUAGUGACCUAAUCCAUAAGAAAAAUAUGUCCAUCUUAGGGUCUCACCUAUAGGUCAAAGUCACUGAAGAUCUUAGCACUACCUCAAUAUUCUCUUAAUGUUGAAAGCUCAUGUAACAUAGUAGCUUGGUGAAGUAAUGACUACUUGAUAGCCAAUGUUAUGACUCAUUGUAGGUCAUAUUUAUGUGUAACCAUACAAACUAGUGUACUCACCAUGAGAGCCUCAUCUUGAUGACGAGGACCGGUUACCUUUCUAAUUAGGAGGUAGUAAACUAAAACCUUAGAUGUUGCUUAAGUCUAUGAGCUAGUUGUGAAUGAGUCAUCAACUUGUAAGGAACUCAUGAAUUGAAUUUUUUGUGUGACUCCCGAUGCAAUCAAGUUAUGUAUGAUGCAAGUGAUGAAAGUUUGAAUGCUCAACAUAUAUAAUGCAUAAAUAGGAUAAUAAAAAGAGAAUUGGAAUCAUAACUAAGUUAUGCACAAUGCAAGUAAUGGAAGUUUGAAUGCUCAACAUAUAUAAUGCAUAAAUAGGAUAAUAAAAAGAGAAUUAGAAUCAUAAUAUAAAUUUUAAUGAAAUCCAUUUAUUGUUACAUCAUAUCAUGUUUUUCAUGGCUCUAUCCUAAUAAUCUUCUACUAGCCCAAAAGAUAGACUAGGCAACAUAGAAUAAAUUUGCUCUAGAACUAAUCAACUUUAUAAACUAUCUCACAAAACAUGUAGUACUACCUCUCUAUGGGUGAUACAACCAAGGUAAAUACCCUAAUUCCCAUGAGAAACUUCCUAAGCCAAAUGACUUUCUAGAGUAUACAAAUACCCAAAGGUACAUCUAUAAGAGUCCUUACCAGACUAAAAGUCUAAAUCUAUGCAUUGAAUAGGUACCAACUCAUCACUAUGGAACAUAAACAUAUAAUCCCUUGUUCUCCUGAGAUACUUAAGUAUAUACUUGAUAUUUAUUCAAUACCCUGAUCAUAAACUAGAUGGAUCUUAAUUGAUGACAAUAACUUUACAUCAUUCCUAAUAAUUAGAUGUCAUCUACUUAUAAGAUCUAGAAAACCACCAUGUUUCCCUACAUCUUCUUGAAUACUUAAUGCUUAUCCUUGUUUUUGAUAAAAAUCAAGAAUCUUAUUUGUUUGAUCAAAAAACUUUUUUCCACGAGUGAGAUGCUUGCAUUAAGUCAUAAAUGGAUUUAUGCAAGUUGCAUACUAGAUUCUCUUGACCCAUUACUAUGAAAACAUUUUUUUACAUCAUAUAGAUACUCUCAUCAAUCGUUUAAGAAUGUUGUCUUGACAUCCAUUUUUCAUAUCUCAUAAUUGAAAUGCACUUAUUAGGUAGGAGUACUCUAAUGGACUUGAGCAUGGCUACUAGUGAAAAGGUUUCCUAAUAGUUGAAAGCAUGUUUCAAACCAACUUACACCUAUGAGUUUUAUCCCUUAAGUACUUUUAGAAGAUUCUAGACUAUGUUAAAAUACAAAGAUUCUAACAUUUCCUCCAUAAAUCCUUGCUAUAUAUGAGCAUCAAUUUCAUUCAUUAUUUCAUAUUAACCUAUGAGAUACUAUCCUCCCACUACAAUGGGGCACUUGUGUACUAGAAGUAAUGAGAAUAGUAUGUGCUACUAGGAUAGAGCCCUUAAAAGCAUGACAUGAUGUAACAAAAUUGGAAUUCAUUAUUUAAUGAUAUUAUAGUUUCACUUUUAUCUAUUCUUAUUCCAUGCAUUGCACUUUAUGAGCAUUCUUACUUACAUCUUUUGCACUAUAUGUGACUUGGUUGCAUUAAGAGUUGCAUGGAAGAUCUAAGUCAUAGGUUCCUUGCAAAUAGAUGACUUGUUUACAACCGACUCGUGGGUCUUAGGUAACCAAUUAGAGGCUGUAAUGCACCACCUCCUAAUUGGAAGGAUGGCUAGUCUUAGCUAUCAAGAUUCAUGGUGAGUGCACUUGUGUGUAUGGUUACACAUUGGACAAGACCUACAAUGAGUCAUGACUUAAGGCUAUCAAGUAGUCAUGACCUCACCAAGCUGCUUCAUUGUGUUGUUCUCAACUUUGAGAGAAUAUUAAGCUUGUGCUAAAGUUACUAGUGACUUUGACCUAUGUGUGAGAUCAUUAGCUGAUCAUAUAUUCCUUAUGGAUCAAGUAAUUACUGAUGGAAGUUGGUAGUAAUAGGUAUUUUUAAUAGAGACACCAUGAUAUCUCAUGGGAUUAAGACAGAGUGUCCCAUUGGGUGAUCCUAACGAGGUGUGUUCAUGGAAACUAUGUCCAUAGUACGUAGUUCCUAAAGUGGAACUUGUCAUAGACUCUUUGAGAGCUAAGACAUGGUAAUUGAACACACAAUAGGAGGAUUUGUAGUCUUGAAAGUUUGAUAGCUUCACCUUGUUAGACUAUGAACACUAGUUCAUAGGGAGACUGAACGCAAUGGAUAGCAGGUCACGGACCUAAGCACAUAGUGUCUCAUUGUGAUAUAUAUAGGAUACUGGAGUUCAGUUGAUUCUUUGUAGUGAGAUGUUGAAUCAUAUUCAAAAUUAGAUUUUGAGGGAGCCAAUACUCUUAUGGGUCCCAAUGGUUCUUUAUCUAAGCUUAUAUACCUUGUUAGCAUGGGUUAUGGGGGUUGGAUUGACUUUAAGUUCACUUUUAUGCAUAAGGGUAUUUUGGUAAUUAUGCAAGAUUACACAAGGGAAAGUGAACAAGGUUUUUAGAUUGGGCUAAAUGAUUAAUUAGUAGGCUCUGUUGGGUUAAUUAAUCAAUUAGGAUCCAAUUUGGGCUAGAUUAAGUGACCCAAGCCUAUGUGGGCUCAAGUCACUUAAGCCUAGUUAAGAACCUUAUAAAUACCCCCUAGGGGUUAGGGUUUCCAUCACUUCUGUCUUACACCAUCCAGAGAGAAAGAGAGAGUCAUAACCUCCAGUCUUCUUUCCUUCCCACCGGAAAGAUGUCAAGAACAAGGUUAAAUCAUUGGGUGGAAGAUCGUGGGUUUACAAGACUUUCAACAACUUCUAGGUUGUCUUCAAUACUUGGAAUUUACGGUUUGGGAACAUCCAAACCUAAAGACUAGUACUUUAACCAUAAAGAUUAAUUUUUUGCAAAAUUGGUAUUGCUUCUGCUAUUUAGAUUUAAGAUGCCAAUAUGUGCUUGAGAAUAUGAUUUAGUAAUCUUCACAUACUAGUGCACUCACCAUAGGAAACCCAUCCCAAUGACUAAGACUAGUCAUCCCUUUAAUUAAGAGGUACUACACCAUAACCUCAAAUGAAUUACCUAUAUCCAUUAACCAACAAUGGAUAAUUAAUUUAUUUUCAAGGAACCCAUGACUUGGAUCUUCUGUGCAACUCCUAAUGCAUCCAAGUUAUAUACAAUGCAAGAGAUGUCAAGCCUGAUUGCUAAGAGACUUUAAUGCAUGAAUAGGAUAAAUAGAAUAUGGGAAAUUAGAAUCACAUUAUUAAAUAAUAACAAAGGCUACAAGGUUUGCUAAGGUCCUCUCUUACUUAAUUUUUUACAAACAAGAGCAUUCAAUUUUAGUAAUUCCUUAAUUGAUAAAAUAUUUUUUAUGAAAAUCUUCCAAAAAUGUUUAUUUCCUAAAUUGGAACCUUAAUGUAAAAGGAGAGAAUACUUGUGAGAUUUUUAAAAAUAUUCCAUGAGAGCAAUGUAUUUAAAAAUAAUCACUAAAAAAUUUUAAAACUUAUUUUUCAACUAAAUUUCUCUUU